rnacentral:tRNA from 1 species
GGCCCAUGGCUGAACGGUAUAGCGUUUGACUCAAAUAUCAAAGGUCGCGGGUUCGAAUUCCAUGUGUGCCA